AACGAACGCUGGCGGCAUGCCUAACACAUGCAAGUCGAACGAGACCUUCGGGUCUAGUGGCGCACGGGUGCGUAACGCGUGGGAACCUGCCCUUAGGUUCGGAAUAACUCCCCGAAAGGGGUGCUAAUACCGGAUAAUGUCUUCGGACCAAAGAUUUAUCGCCUUUGGAUGGGCCCGCGUUGGAUUAGCUAGUUGGUAGGGUAAAAGCCUACCAAGGCGACGAUCCAUAGCUGGUCUGAGAGGAUGAUCAGCCACACUGGGACUGAGACACGGCCCAGACUCCUACGGGAGGCAGCAGUGGGGAAUAUGGGACAAGGGGCGAAAGCCUGAUCCAGCAAUGCCGCGGGAGUGAUGAAGGCCUUAGGGUGGUAAAGCUCUUUUACCCGGGAUGAUAAUGACAGUACCGGGAGAAUAAGCUCCGGCUAACUCCGU
rnacentral:rRNA from 1 species